rnacentral:rRNA from 1 species
UACGAAGGGGGCUAGCGUUGCUCGGAAUCACUGGGCGUAAAGCGCACGUAGGUGGUCCACUAAGUCGAGUGUGAAAUCCCCCGGCUCAACCGGGGAAUUGCGCUCGAUACUGGCGGGCUAGAGGUCGAUAGGGGUGAGCGGAACUCCAGGUGGAGCGGUGAAAUGCGUAGAUAUCUGGAGGAACACCGGUGGCGAAGGCGGCAUCCUGGACCGACAUUGACGCUGAGGCGCGAAAGCCAGGGGAGCAAACGGGG